GAAAAAGAGCAAAAAGAAGGAUGAGUAAGUUAGGCUUUAACAUAAUAACAUGAUUCGAGUUGAUUUGUCUAUUCAGGAGGGUUAUGUCUGCAUAACUGUGUGUAAGACCCCAAUUUUGUCCCUAAGAUCCCUCAUGGCAUCAUAACAUUGCAUUGCAUAGCCUCAAGGAUCAUUGAGUAUCUUGGCUCCCUUUCCCUUUAGGUAGGGAUCUCUUGUUAGUGGUUUG
rnacentral:lncRNA from 1 species